rnacentral:rRNA from 1 species
GGUAAUUUGACCGUGCAAAGGUAGCAUAAUCAUUAGUUUUUUAAUUGAAAGCUGGAAUGAAAGGUUGGAUGAGAAAAAAGCUGUCUCUAUUUAAUUUAUUUAGAAUUUUAUUUUUAAGUUAAAAAGCUUAAAUUUGAAUAGAAGACGAGAAGACCCUGUAGAGUUUUAUUAUUUUUAUUUUAUAAAAAUAAUAGUAUUUUUUAUUUUUGUAGAAAAAAUUAAUUUGGUUGGGGUGAUUGAAAAAUUUAAUUAACUUUUUUUUAUGGUUACAUUUAUAUAUGAAUAUAUGAUCCUUAAUUUGAGAUUAUAAGAUAAAAUUACCUUAGGGAUAACAGCGUAAUUUUUUUUGAGAGUUCUAAUCGAAAAAAAAGAUUGCGACCUCGAUGUUGGAUUAAAAUAAAAUUUUGGUGUAGAAGCUAAAA